ACGGCUGAGUUGGUAGACCAGGAGUCUCUUAAUCUCAAUGUUGUGGGUUCAAGCCCCAUGUUGGGUA